AUACGGAGGAUGCGAGCGUUAUCCGGAUUUAUUGGGUUUAAAGGGUGCGUAGGCUGUGCGUUAAGUCAGGGGUGAAAUGCCGUCGCUCAACGACGGAGCUGCCCUUGAUACUGGCGUGCUGGAGUACGGAUGCCGUUGGAGGAAUGAGUGGUGUAGCGGUGAAAGGCUUAGAUAUCACUCGGAACACCGAUUGCGAAGGCAUCUGACGAAUCCGUCACUGACUCUGAGGCACGAAAGCGUGGGGAUAGAACAGGAUUAGAUACCCUGGUAUUCCACGCCGUAAACGAUGAUGACUAACCGUCGGCGAUAGACAGCCGGUGGCCAAGCGAAAGCGAUAAGUAAUCCACCUGGGGAGUACGCCGGCAACGGUGAAACUCAAAUGAAUUGACGGG
rnacentral:rRNA from 1 species